rnacentral:rRNA from 1 species
GAAACGGGUGGUAAUGCCGGAUGCUCCGACUCCUCGCAUGGGGUGUCGGGAAAGAUUUCAUCGGUAUGGGAUGGGGUCGCGUCCUAUCAGGUAGUCGGCGGGGUAACGGCCCACCGAGCCUACGACGGGUAGCCGGCCUGAGAGGGCGACCGGCCACAUUGGGACUGAGAUACGGCCCAGACUCCUACGGGAGGCAGCAGUGGGGAAUAUUGCACAAUGGGCGCAAGCCUGAUGCAGCGACGCCGCGUGCGGGAUGACGGCCUUCGGGUUGUAAACCGCUUUUGAUCGGGAGCAAGCCUUCGGGUGAGUGUACCUUUCGAAUAAGCACCGGCUAACUACGUGCCAGCAGCCGCGGUAAUACGUAGGGUGCAAGCGUUAUCCGGAAUUAUUGGGCGUAAAGGGCUCGUAGGCGGUUCGUCGCGUCCGGUGUGAAAGUCCAUCGCUUAACGGUGGAUCUGCGCCGGGUACGGGCGGGCUGGAGUGCGGUAGGGGAGACUGGAAUUCCCGGUGUAACGGUGGAAUGUGUAGAUAUCGGAAAA